rnacentral:rRNA from 1 species
GACGAACGCUGGCGGCGUGCUUAACACAUGCAAGUCGAACGGAAAGGCCCUGCUUUUGUGGGGUGCUCGAGUGGCGAACGGGUGAGUAACACGUGAGUAACCUGCCCUUGACUUUGGGAUAACUUCAGGAAACUGGGGCUAAUACCGGAUAGGAGCUCCUGCUGCAUGGUGGGGGUUGGAAAGUUUCGGCGGUUGGGGAUGGACUCGCGGCUUAUCAGCUUGUUGGUGGGGUAGUGGCUUACCAAGGCUUUGACGGGUAGCCGGCCUGAGAGGGUGACCGGCCACCUUGGGACUGAGCUACGGCCCAGACUCCUACGGGAGGCAGCAGUGGGGAAUAUUGCCCGAUGGGCCGAAGCCUGAUGCAGCAACGCCGCGUGCGGGAUGACGGCCUUCGGUUUGUAGACCGCUUUCGCCUGUGACGAAGCGUGAUUGACGGUAAUGGGUAAAGAAGCACCGGCUAACUACGUG